ensembl:lncRNA
GUCAAAUUGUUAUGUUACCGUGGCGAGGCCAAAUAUUUGGCUUUUUCGUAGCUCAUCACAGUUUACUUUCUUUGUAGUGCUUGUACACUUUUUUGCUUGGCGAAGGUUAAAAAACGCGGAAGAAGGUCACCCGCCGCUUACCUUGAAUUUCCGCAGGUGUUGCGGUUUGCAAAAAAACACAAGUUCAGAUUUGGGCUACAAAGUUACGUAUUUAUCGUUCCGCUUCGUUUAGAGCUUCUCGUCGUUAUGGAACGUGGCAGCAGAACUGCGAGAUAUUAAUUGAUAUAAAUUGCAUACGACGGUUCGUGUCCCUGUGUGACGGAGCGGACACUGAGUGAGUGACUCCCGCGAAGCCCUGCGAGGAUUCUGAAGCGGAACCUCGUGAAGAGCGGCGCGCGAGCUGGAGCACAGCGACCACACCGCGCUCGCGCCACUGCUACUCCAGCAGCCUGAAACAUCAUCAUGGAGGAGAACGUGGACUUCAAGACCUUGAGGGACAGAUUUCAUGCGAAGGCUGAAAUGGCUGAUGCCAAAGGUGGUGAUUCCCAGAGGCUUCCGAUGCCACGAUUUCCAAGAGCAGUUCCACCAGCAGGACACAGCCCUUCAGCGAAUGGUGCCGCCCGACCUAAACUGUCGCCUGCCGCUCCUGGACCGCGUUCAUCUCCAGACCUUAGUUGGAUGGCCAGACCAUCUGCAGUUGAACCUGAGUCCACAGGCCCAACAAGGCCGUCCCCACCUUUUGGUGUCUUUCCCAGACCACCUCCAUCCCACCGGACUGCUCCUGUUCCGCAGGAACCCAAAACAGAGAGCCCAGUGAAGGACAGAGUACCAGGAAAGGUCAAAGCUACCGGGGAACUGUUGCAAAACAUGAUGCUGAAGCCAUCUAUGCAGGACAGCCCCCUAUUCAAGCCAACUCCAUCUCCCACAUCAACACUGCGUAGCCAGAGAAGCAUGGCAGAAGUGCCUCCUCUUAGGAGGACUCUACCCCCUGAGGGACCAAAACCUGUCAAACCCAAACGCCCCCCCACUGUUAACCUGGACUGCUACCGGAAAGCUGCACCACCACCUCCGCUGCCUGGACGCCCAUCACUGGGGAAGAAGACAGGAGCUGUUAAUCUACCCAUUCCUGGGUCAGCAAGUCCAUCAGGCCCACCAAGGCCACCAUUCAAACCAAGCAGCCUAAGCCAGCAGCAGUCAGUGAUUGUGAAAGACGAUGAUCAAGACACCUACGAUGAUGUUGACAUACUUCCACCUCCACCACCUCCCCCGCCUUCAAAGUCUGCUUUCAAAGAAGAUUUCUUCAACAACUGUGGUUCCACACCUGGGGAUGAGGUGAGAAUCUAUCUGGCAUCUACAUGAUCUAACAUUUUUUGUUCCCUGGUACCGAUAAUAUACAGUUAUGUGUACAUUAUUUCUUUAGAAAUAUUAUUAAUCCGUCUAACUACAAGUUUCAAGUAUAUUAAAGCUGCCAGUUAGUUUUCAUUAUUUAGUCCAAACAAUAUUUAAAUGUAUUUUUUAAGGGGGGCAUGGUGGCGCGGUGGCGCGGUGGGUUGGACCAGGUCCUGCUCUCCAGUGGGUCUGGGGUUUGAGUCCCGCUUGGGGUGCCUUGCAACGGACUGGCGUCCCGUCCUGGUUGUGUCCCCUCCCCCUCCGGCCUUAUUCCCUGUGUUACCGGGUUGGCUCCGGUUCCCCGCGACCCCGUACGGGACGAGCGGUUCCGAAAGUGUGUGUGUGUAUUUUUUAAUUAAGCAUUUAUAAUUCUUAGCUAACUUCAGCAUUUCCCCAAAUAGAAACAAUAAAAUGGAAUAAGGACUAGAAUGUAAUCUUAAA